GAAUAGUUAUAGGUACUCGUAGGUAUUAGAAAUCACGUCAUGCAUUGCCAGACACUAGUACCGUGUCAGAGGAUUGCCACGAUACUAAUUAUAAUGCUUGACGUGAAUUUUAGUACUACGUACUGAAGAAAAUAUAAAAAAAAAACACUUUUCACUUUGACGAAAGACUUUGUACACCUUUGCCUCUUUCUGUCAAUGCCACGAUGAUCCAAACUUCAUAGUUCCUCCCUGUGUGAUGGCAAUGCGCAGAGUUUCAGCUUUUAGAAAAUAACGAAGGUCUGGUCCUCACACUUCUCUCUACAAUGUACCUACUUACUAAGAGUACCUAGGCUGUUUCGUUUAAAUAGGUUAGGAAUAUUAUUAUUAUUUUUAUUCACUGAAAUAGACAUUGUAAAGCAAUCGAGUCCUGAAAUAAUUGAGUACGAAUAUGCAUUGUUUCUAGGUGAACGCGUUUCUGGCGAUACCUUGUCAUAUGUUUACGUUGGCAUGGUGCCAGCUUAUCAACCACACUACAACUUCAGUGUUAAACUACCAUUUCUUGGUUCUUUGAGUAAGGAUACACAAUUGACAUAUUUAAGAGUACAUUAUUCAAAUCCCCUGUCUAAAGUAAAUGUAUCUUACAAUCCUGAGAUCUCGAUGCUAGAGUUUUUUAUAAAAUAUCCAUUCAUGUCUUUUCCAUUUGGCAUUGACGCAUAUUCCUACAAAGUACCUAGGUAUUCAUAAAAAUAAAUAACUCAAGCAGUGAAAUCGUGCAAAAUUCCGUUACUAGGUAGGUAUACUUAAGGGUAGUCCUGUAAUCAAUUAAAUGCACCUAAUAAAACCUAUGUAUUGAACCUAUGUAUAUGCAAUGAAUGAAUAAUGUUACUUGAAAUACUAUC